rnacentral:rRNA from 1 species
UACGUAGGGACCGAGCGUUGUCCGGAAUCAUUGGGCGUAAAGAGCGUGUAGGCGGCCAACUAAGUCCUGCGUGAAAUCUCGGGGCUCAACCCCGAGCGGUCGUGGGAAACUGGUUGGCUAGAGUGCGGGAGAGGAGAGUGGAAUUCCUGGUGUAGCGGUGAAAUGCGCAGAUAUCGAGAGGAACACCUGCGGCGAAGGCGGGUUGCUGGGCUGACACUGACGCUGAUGCGCGAAAGCUAGGGGAGCGAACGGG